rnacentral:rRNA from 1 species
GUGUCACCAGCCGCGGUCCUACGGAGGGUGCACGCGUUCCUCGGCCUUCCUGGGCGUACAGCGCACGCAGGCGGUCAAUUAAGUCAGAUGUGAAAGCCCAAAGCUUAACUUGGGAAUUGCAUCUGAAACUGGUUGGCUAGAGUCUUGUAGAGGGGGGUAGAAUUCCAUGUGUAGCGGUGAAAUGCGUAGAGAUGUGGAGGAAUACCGGUGGCGAAGGCGGCCCCCUGGACAAAGACUGACGCUCAGGUGCGAAAGCGUGGGGAGCAAACAGGAUUAGAUACCCUGGUAGUCCACGCUGUAAACGAUGUCGAUUUUGAGGUUGUGGUCUUGAACCGUGGCUUCUGGAGCUAACGCGUUAAAUCGACCGCCUGGGGAGUACGGCCGCAAGGUUAAAACUCAAAUGAAUUGACGGGG